rnacentral:rRNA from 1 species
CCUACGGGCGGCAGCAGUGGGGAAUAUUGCACAAUGGGGGAAACCCUGAUGCAGCGACGCCGCGUGAGCGAGGAAGUAUUUCGGUAUGUAAAGCUCUAUCAGCAGGGACGAAAAAAGACGGUACCUGACUAAGAAGCCCCGGCUAACUACGUGCCAGCAGCCGCGGUAAUACGUAGGGGGCAAGCGUUAUCCGGAUUUACUGGGUGUAAAGGGAGCGUAGACGGCAAGGCAAGCCAGAAGUGAAAGGGCAGGGCUCAACCCUGUACAUGCUUUUGGAACUGUGGUGCUAGAGUGCAGGAGAGGUAAGUGGAAUUCCUAGUGUAGCGGUGAAAUGCAUAGAUAUAUGGAGGAACACCAGUGGCGAAGGCGACGAUCUGGGCUGCAACUGACGCUCAGUCCCGAAAGCGUGGGGAGCAAAUAGGAUUAGAUACCCCUGUAGUC